UGCAUUCUACAAAUAUUAAUAUUGAAUUAUUAACAUAAUUUUUAUAGGUCGUCGCAACGCGCGGCUCAACUAGUUCAUCAUAAGACUCAAUUUUUUAGCUUCCCGAGAAGUGAGGCUGGCAAAAUCAUGCACGCAGAUAAUUCUUGUUUAAAGACUCGAGAAGAGUCAACAGGCUCGAAAAUAGAUAUGUGGUUCACAUCACAGCAACGCUCAGCAGGUUGACGUUGUAAUGUGGCCUGAAAUAUUAAAGGAUUUAUCAAAUUAAAUUACAGUUGCUAUGCUGACUUAGAAUAAAGUACUCCCUCCGUCCCACCAGAUUCUUUAUAGUUUCCUUAUUUGGCCGUCCCACCCAUUUCUUUACAUCACAAAACUUUCCUAAAAUAGUUAAUGGGUCCCACCACUUUCCCACUUUUCCUUCCUUUUCACACUACUUUUACUCCACUAACUCUCUUUUAUAUAUUAAAAAUCAGUGGGUCCCACCACUUCACCCACUUUUCCUUCUCUUUUCCACUACUUUAUAUAUAUUUCUUAACCUCCGUGCCCAAACCCAAUGUAAAGAAUUGGGUGGGACGGAGGGAGUAAGUGAACUUAAACAAAUUAAACAAAAUCAAAAUACACAUACACCGUUUCUUAUGUUGAAUUCUUACGUUGCACAAAAUCAAAAUAACUAAGUCAAGAAGUAAAAUAUCACCAAACAUUUAAAAUUUUACAAAAUUAAUAUUAUGUGAAUACCUCGUAAGAAAUGAAAUGAAUCGAUCACAUACAUAUUCUGUAAUAAAUUGAUCUGCAAACAUCCAACAUAAUUGUAAAAUAUGACUAAUUAAAAGACUAAACACUUAAAAAAUCCAAAAACUCUAUCAGGACUAUAUCAAACACGUGGCAAGCGCCUCUCAAAUCUUGAAUAUCAGCCAGUGGCGGAACUAGAAAUUCAUGUAAGGAGGACCGACAUAUAAAUAAUAUAUUAUUAUAAUGAUCUAACUUUCAUUUUGCAUGAAAAUUUAUACUAUUAAUUAAUCCACCUGUUUAUAUUUGAGUUUGUUUUUAUGUUUUACUAUGUGAAUAUAGUAGUGAGCCUGGGUCAGUUUUAAUGGACCAAUGAGUUUGGCUAUACUUCUUAAUAUUUAAGGGGGCAUCAAACAACUAUCCACAAAAUAGACCUAUAAAAAAUUUGGUUAAGCAGGGUCAGCGGACCCUCCGGUCACAUGGCUGCUUCCGCCCCUGAUAUCAACUAAUAUUCACAUAUAUAUUCAGAAAAAUUAUCAUAUAAAUAUAAAUAUAUAUACCUUAAAAUCAUUUCAUGAUAUUAACAACUUGAAUCAUAUCAUCAUAGUGUGUAACUCAGUUUUCAAAUAAAACAAUAAAGCUGAAGAGAACUUUAAUCAGACACCUUAUAUUCAUUUAUUUCUUUUGCGAGUAGAUCCUCUUAUGCUUGAUUUCCGGCCACAAAUCUGAAAAAAUUAACAUUGAGAAUUCGUUAGUUUUAUUUGGAAAAAUGAAAAGAUGUAUCAGUUUUGAACUUUUGGUGAGACUUGAGAGAAAAGGGAGAGGAAUAUCAAAUUUCAAAUUUUGAACUGAAGUAUGUGAGCGUGUGUAUCAGUUUGGUAUAAUAGGUAUGCUUAUCUAGGUUUCAAAUUCAAAGCGUGCAGAACACAAAAGUAUGUAGAUAUGAGUAGAAGACAACUGUUAUACUGUACUAAAUGAGUACUCCCUCCGUCCCACCAGGUACUUUACAGUUUCCUUUUUGGGAUGUCCAAUCCAAUUCUUUACAUUUCAAAACUUACCAAAAAUAGUCGAUGGGUCCCACCACUAUCCAACUUUUCUUCCCUUUUCACACUACUUUUACUUCCUUUUCACACUACUUUUACUCCACUAUCUCCCUUUUAUACAUUAAAAAAUAAUGGGUCCCACCACUUCACCCACUUUUCUUUCUCUUUUUCACUACUUUAUACAUAUUUUUUAACUUCCGUGCCCAAACCAAACGUAAAGAAUUGGCUGGGACGGAGGGAGUAUUUAAGUUGUCUAAGCACGGGUGUCACACUGUAGCUUUGACAACAACAAAGAAGCCGUAUAUUUCAGAAAAGGACAGUGACAUACGGUGUAAAUACGGCUGCUUUUAGGAGGACACACUUGUAAUUAGCCGUGGUAAAAUCCUUCAGGCUUUAUAAUUUAAAGGGAUAACAGGUUUUUUUCUGAAAACUGGAUGAAAAUUUGUUUAGAUCUGUUUGGGGUGUUUUUACAAAUUAUUGUGCUGUCAGGAAAAGUGCUCGUAAAAAAAGUGGUGCUUUUGCAAAAACUGAAAAGCAACUUUUUUCAAAAACAUUUGAGAACAUGCUUUUUCUAAAAGUAUCUUUCAAUUAAAAACUAUUGUUCAUGAAAACUGCUUUUAGAUUUACCAAAUAGUUUAAUAAUAGUACCUUCGUAAAUUGAAAAACUGUUGUUAUAGACAACAAUUUUAAUAACAGUAUAUUUACUGAAAUGUGGGUAAAAAAUUGUUUAGUAAAUUGAAAAAUAGUUGUUCCAAACAGCUUUUUAAUUGGAAAAGCUGUUUUUAGAAAAAAUAAGUCAUACUACACUUUACACUUUUGAAAAAGCUGCUUUUCAAUUUUUCUAGAAAGUUAUAGUUUUCACUAGCUUAUUCUCUGCCGUCCAAAAUCGUGGGUUCGACCCUGGUUCAUCCCGACAUUUCUGAGAACAGAUUCUCACUUGUAAAGUUAUAAACCAUACUUGCCAAAAAAAAUACAUUAAUUUUUUAUAUUAUAAUUACAAAUAAGAACAUAUCAAGAAAAUUACCAAACAGUUUUCUUAUUUCUAAAACAACAUUUUUUUUACAUGCAUUUUUUCUGACAUCACAACUAUUUAUUUCUAUAAUAAUAUAUUUUUACGGGUAUUUUUUCUAGCAUCACGAUAUUCCUAACACACUCCAGGAUGGACCCUUAGAGCAGCAGCAAUGGAGGGUCACUUGCGUAUCGGGGCGCGCAAACUGUCUUGGUUGUAUAUAAAUGACCCUGGACAACCUUGAAUGCAUAAUAAAGAAGUGGCCCGGUGCCUCUUCGCCAUCCCUGGCCACUUUGAUUUCUUUAAUUUUUUAUUAAUAAAUUGUUCACUUAAGUUUGUCUAAAUAACUGCAUUGUAGGACCCAUAAAAUUUAAAAGAAUUUUAUUAACAGAGGUGAAAUGGGCUCAGCAUUGGAGGCAUGAAACUAGGGAUGACAGUUUUACCCGACCCGAUGGAUACCCGACCCGUACCGACCCGAUUGGGUCUACCCGAACCCGAUUUUUUUGGAUCUGGAUCCGGAUUUGGAUCUUAUUUUUAGACCCGAAAGAGUCUGGAUCUGGAUCUGGAUCUCAGGUAUUCCGAACCGAGACCCGACCCGAAACCCGAAACCCGAUUAAAACCCGAUCCGAACCCGAGACCCG
rnacentral:lncRNA from 1 species